rnacentral:rRNA from 1 species
AGAGUUUGAUCCUGGCUCAGGACGAACGCUGGCGGCGUGCCUAACACAUGCAAGUCGAACGAGGUCCAGUCAGUGGCAACACUGAGGACGACCUAGUGGCGAACGGGUGAGUAACACGUGAGGAACUUGCCCCGGAGACCGGGAUAACCCUCCGAAAGGAGAGCUAAUACCGGAUGUCUUCACCGAGCCGCAUGGUUUGGUGAAGAAAUGGAUUCCGCUCCGGGAGAGUCUCGCGGCCUAUCAGCUAGUUGGUGGGGUAACGGCCCACCAAGGCAUCGACGGGUAGCUGGUCUGAGAGGACGAUCAGCCACACUGGGACUGAGACACGGCCCAGACUCCUACGGGAGGCAGCAGUGGGGAAUCUUGCGCAAUGGGCGAAAGCCUGACGCAGCAACGCCGCGUGCGGGAUGACGGCCCUCGGGUUGUAAACCGCUUUCAGUGGGGACGAACCAAGACGGUACCCACAGAAGAAGGUCCGGCCAACUACGUGCCAGCAGCCGCGGUAACACGUAGGGACCAAGCGUUGUCCGGAUUCAUUGGGCGUAAAGAGCUCGUAGGCGGUUCGAUAAGUCGGGUGUGAAACCUCCAGGCUCAACCUGGAGACGCCACCCGAUACUGUCGUGACUAGAGUCCAGUAGGGGAGCGUGGAAUUCCUGGUGUAGCGGUGAAAUGCGCAGAUAUCAGGAGGAACACCAGCGGC